UACAGAGGGUGCGAGCGUUAAUCGGAAUUACUGGGCGUAAAGGGCUCGUAGGCGGCCAACUAAGUCAGACGUGAAAUCCCUCGGCUUAACCGGGGAACUGCGUCUGAUACUGGAUGGCUUGAGUUUGGGAGAGGGAUGCGGAAUUCCAGGUGUAGCGGUGAAAUGCGUAGAUAUCUGGAGGAACACCGGUGGCGAAGGCGGCGUUCUGGACUGCAACUGACACUGAGGAACGAAAGCCAGGGGAGCAAACGGG
rnacentral:rRNA from 1 species